GAAUUCGCCCUUAGAGUUUGAUCCUGGCUCAGGACGAACGCUGGCGGCGCGCCUAACACAUGCAAGUCGAACGAGCGAGAGAGAGCUUGCUUUCUCGAGCGAGUGGCGAACGGGUGAGUAACGCGUGAGGAACCUGCCUCAAAGAGGGGGACAACAGUUGGAAACGACUGCUAAUACCGCAUAAGCCCACGGCUCGGCAUCGAGCAGAGGGAAAAGGAGCAAUCCGCUUUGAGAUGGCCUCGCGUCCGAUUAGCUAGUUGGUGAGGUAAUGGCCCACCAAGGCAACGAUCGGUAGCCGGACUGAGAGGUUGAACGGCCACAUUGGGACUGAGACACGGCCCAGACUCCUACGGGAGGCAGCAGUGGGGAAUAUUGCACAAUGGGGGAAACCCUGAUGCAGCGACGCCGCGUGGAGGAAGAAGGUCUUCGGAUUGUAAACUCCUGUUGUUGAGGAAGAUAAUGACGGUACUCAACAAGGAAGUGACGGCUAACUACGUGCCAGCAGCCGCGGUAAAACGUAGGGUGCAAGCGUUGUCCGGAACUACUGGGUGUAAAGGGAGCGCAGGCGGGAAGACAAGUUGGAAGUGAAAACCAUGGGCUCAACCCAUGAAUUGCUUUCAAAACUGUUUUUCUUGAGUAGUGCAGAGGUAGAUGGAAUUCCCGGUGUAGCGGUGGAAUGCGUAGAUAUCGGGAGGAACACCAGUGGCGAAGGCGGUCUACUGGGCACCAACUGACGCUGAGGCUCGAAAGCAUGGGUAGCAAACAGAAUUAGAUACCCUGGUAGUCCAUGCCGUAAACGAUGAUUACUAGGUGUUGGGGGAUUGACCCCCUCAGUGCCGCAGUUAACACAAUAAGUAAUCCACCUGGGGAGUACGACCGCAAGGUUGAAACUCAAAGGAAUUGACGGGGGCCCGCACAAGCAGUGGAGUAUGUGGUUUAAUUCGAAGCAACGCGAAGAACCUUACCAGGUCUUGACAUCCGAUGCAUAGCGCAGAGAUGCGUGAAGUCCUUCGGGACAUCGAGACAGGUGGUGCAUGGUUGUCGUCAGCUCGUGUCGUGAGAUGUUGGGUUAAGUCCCGCAACGAGCGCAACCCUUAUUGCCAGUUACUACGUAAGAGGACUCUGGCGAGACUGCCGUUGACAAAACGGAGGAAGGUGGGGAUGACGUCAAAUCAUCAUGCCCUUUAUGACCUGGGCUACACACGUACUACAAUGGCGUUUAACAAAGAGAAGCAAGACCGCGAGGUGGAGCAAAACUCAAAAACAACGUCUCAGUUCAGAUUGCAGGCUGCAACUCGCCUGCAUGAAGUCGGAAUUGCUAGUAAUCGCGGAUCAGCAUGCCGCGGUGAAUACGUUACGGGGCCUUGCACUCACCGCCCGUCA
rnacentral:rRNA from 1 species